GUUGGCCUUACACACUGAAAAAUUUCUUUCACCUUUAACUUCAUUCUUCCUUAUUAUAUAUAUGUAUAUAUUUAGAGGUUGUAGAAAACAAUUCUUUAUCUUCUCUCACAAAGAAUAUUCCUAAAUAUUUGAAAAAUGUUAUCAAAUACUUCUUAGUCUUCUCUCUCUUGGAUUAAGCAAACUCACGUCUUGCAAAGCCUCAUGCUAGAUCAUCUUUUUUGAAAGAUCACUCUACUUUUCUUGGAACUUUCUCCAGAUUGUUGAUGUAUUCCUUGACGUGCAAUAACCUGCAUUGGUCACAGAGCUCCACGUGAGGAUUUACCAACUCUGAGCAGAUUGGAAGAAAUAUUUUGAGAGGAUAAGCAAUAAACAUUGCAUUUAUUAGCUUCUUGUGAGUAAAUAUUUAUCUAUCACUCCUUGGCUGUAUGCUACUGUUGCAUAUUCAGUGCUCCCUGACGCACCUGUACCAUGUGGUCUGCAAACAGAAGAAAAUUCUUCACCACAUGACAAGACAGACACAACAGUGAGUUCUGGGAAUGCAAAGCAGCUUCAAUGGAGAUACAGAAGGGAGGACCAUGGCCCAUUACCUCUUGGAAUUUCCUGAUUUGAGGGGUUCACUGAGGAACCUAAAUGCUGCAUUUGAGCUAGCUUCUACCCGGCAGAGGCUAAGGCAGUGUGGUCAGCAUUGGUGGGGCUGGAAGGGAGCAGAGCUGCAGCUGUGUUGCACAGUGAUGGAACCUGGAGCAGGAUGAUAUGUGCCAAUGCAGUAUUGAUGAGUUUAAAAGCCUGAACCCUUGGAAUUUUUUAGUGGCAGUAUGAUCCCUCUGCUUCAUUACUUGUAACCCCCUCUCAGGAGAAGCGGUGCUAACCCACCAGAGUGCCCAGACUGUAAAGGUCUUUUCAUAACAUAAUUACUGGAGCUCAAAAUAUAUGAAGAAUGAAACUGCCAGUUAUCCAAAUAUCUUGGAGAAAGAUAGACAGGGAC
rnacentral:lncRNA from 1 species